rnacentral:rRNA from 1 species
GAUGAACGCUGGCGGCGUGCCUAAUACAUGCAAGUCGAGCGAACAGACCAGGAGCUUGCUCCUCUGUCGUUAGCGGCGGACGGGUGAGUAACACGUGGAUAACCUACCUAUAAGACUGGGAUAACUUCGGGAAACCGGAGCUAAUACCGGAUAACAUGUUGAACCGCAUGGUUUAACAGUGAAAGACGGUCUUGCUGUCACUUAUAGAUGGAUCCGCGCUGCAUUAGCUAGUUGGUAAGGUAACGGCUUACCAAGGCAACGAUGCGUAGCCGACCUGAGAGGGUGAUCGGCCACACUGGAACUGAGACACGGUCCAGACUCCUACGGGAGGCAGCAGUAGGGAAUCUUCCGCAAUGGGCGAAAGCCUGACGGAGCAACGCCGCGUGAGUGAAGAAGGUCUUCGGAUCGUAAAACUCUGUUAUUAGGGAAGAACAAAUGUGUAAGUAACUGUACACGUCUUGACGGUACCUAAUCAGAAAGCCACGGCUAACUACGUG